GAUGAACGCUGGCGGCGUGCUUAACACAUGCAAGUCGAGCGAAGCACUUUUGCGGAUUUCUUCGGAUUGAAGCAAUUGUGACUGAGCGGCGGACGGGUGAGUAACGCGUGGGUAACCUGCCUCAUACAGGGGGAUAACAGUUGGAAACGGCUGCUAAUACCGCAUAAGCGCACAGUACCGCAUGGUAUUGUGUGAAAAACUCCGGUGGUAUGAGAUGGACCCGCGUCUGAUUAGGUAGUUGGUGGGGUAACGGCCUACCAAGCCGACGAUCAGUAGCCGACCUGAGAGGGUGACCGGCCACAUUGGGACUGAGACACGGCCCAA
rnacentral:rRNA from 1 species